UGCUGAGGGGAUCAGCUGCAGGCCUGAGACACGGCCAGCAGGGGGCAGCACAUGAAAACUGAAGAAGCAGAAGAAAAUGUGUUUCUCUGAGGUUUUUUCUCUGCAUUUUGCCCCCGUCCCUCGGCUCCAUCACUUCUGUGUUAACCAGAUAUCCACCUGUGUCCUGUGCACCGUCCACACCACAGAAGAAGACCACAGCUGAGACCAGAUCAGUGUUCCUGUGGCCUGAAGGUCGAGGCGGAGGGAACGGGCUGUUUUCAGAUCGAGGCCUAAACGGAGAGGCGACGCUGACUGAUCAAAGAAAUAUUGUGCCGCCCAGCAUUUUGGAAACAAACUCUGUUGAUUUGCUCAUAAAGUGAAGCUGCAGAUGCCUAAGGUGUGCAGAUUACAUUCUGUUAGUGUGCAGGUGAGUCCCUGUGAGUCCCUGAGAGGCUGCGGCUCCUCCUCCUCGCCGUCCGGACGCUCCGCUCCUCCUCCGGCUUCAACUCUCUGUCUGGGUGUUAAAAGCUCAGCUGUUUGUGCUCAGCCGCCGCCAGGUGGCGCCGUGCUCAGUCUGAAGAUGCCGUGGUCCCGCCUGCGGGCCGCCGCCGCAGUUCCCGGUCGGGCCUGCGGGUGGCGCCGCGGCCCCUGAGCCCCGGCCUGUGUCUUCAGGAGAACUUCUUUUUGGUGGCGGUGAAGCGCUCCAUGUACUGAGAGGAGAAGCAGCACUGAUUAUCUGAUAUUCAUAUAUGAUAUCAUCAUCUGAUUAUUAGAAAACAAACCUGGAUCAAUUAAAAAAAACAUCUUGUAUUAUUAAAUUAGUAUUUUAGAAAGAAUUAGAAAGUUAGAAGAAGCUGGCCAUAAAUGAAACCAAACAUAACCUGAAAAUCUGAAGAAAUGACCGUGUUUAUAAUUAUUAAAAUAAUGUAUUAACCUUCA